UGCUCUGUGGCGGAGUUGGUUAACGCGCCCUGUCUAGCGAACUUGGGGAGACGUGGGUUCAAAUCCCACCAGAACUA
rnacentral:tRNA from 1 species